UGGGACGCUGGCGGCGUGCUUAACACAUGCAAGUCGACGUGACGCGCCUGUAGCAAUACAGUGGCAGGCACGUGCGCACGGGUGCGUAAACACGUGGGUAAUCUGGCCCUCUGAGAUGGGGAAUAACCCGCCGAAAGGCGGGCUAAUACCGCAUAACAUUCCGAUUGGAUUUCGGUCCGGGACUCAAAACAGGCGUAAGUCCGUCGGAUGGCUGAGAGAGCCCGCGCACCGAUUACGCUAGUUGGUAGGGUAACGGCCUACCAAGGGCUUGAUCGUUAGCCUGGUCCUGAGAGGAUGGCCAGCCACACUGGGAACUGAGACACGGUCCAGACUUCCUACGGAGGCAGCAGUUGGGGAAUCUUUGCACAAUGGGCGAAAGCCCUGAUGCAGCGACGCCGCGUGGGGGAUGAAGCCUAUUCGGUGUGUAAACCCCUGUCUAUCCGGGAACGAAUACCUCGCAUAGAGGCGGGUUGACGGUACCGAUAUAAGGAAGCCCCGGCUAACUACGUGCCAGCAGGCCGCGGUAAGACGUAGGGGGGCCAGCGUUUUUCGGAAUUACUGGGUGUAAAGGGGUUCGUAGGGCGAGUCUGGCAAGUUGGGUGUGAAAUCUCAUGGGCUUAACCCAGAGGCUAGCUUCCAAAACUGCUGUGCUUGAGUGUCGAGAGAGGCUCGUGGAAUUGCAGGUGUAGCGGUGGAAAAUGCGUAGAUAUCUGCGAGGAACACCCGUGGCGAAGCGGCGAGCUUGGAACGAUACUGACGCUGAGGAAGCGAAAGCUAGGGGAGCAAAACAGGAUUAGAUACCCUGGUAGUCCUAGCCCUAAACGAUCGGACUUGGUGGUGCACCCGGUCUCGGGUGUCGUCCCGGAGCUAACGCGUAUAAGUCCUGCACCUGGGGAGUACGGUCGCAAGGACUGAAACUCAAAAGGGAAUUGACGGGGGCCCGCACAAGCGGUGGAAGCAUGUGGUUCAAUUCGACUGCUAACGCGAGGAAACCUUACCUGGGGUCUCGAAAUGCUAGCUUGUACAAUCUGUAGAAGAUACGGCUUCCUCGCAAGGGACAAGUCUAGAGGCUGCUGCAUGGCUGUCGUCAGCUCGUGCCGUGAGGUGUUGGGUUAAGUCCCGCAACGAGCGCAACCCCUUACAUUCAGUUACUCAUCGCUAAGGAGGAGCACUCUGUGUGGACUGCUCUCGGGAUAAACCGGAGGAAAGGUGGGGAUGACGUCAAGUCCUCAUGGCCUUAUGCUCCAGGCUACACACGUGUUACAAUGCAGGGUACAAAAGGCGUUGCAAACCGCGAAGGUGGAGCAUCCUAUCGGAAAAUCUAGCCUCAGUUCGGAUUGCACUCUGCAACUCGAGUGCAUGAAGCUGUGAAUCGCUAGUAAUCGCGGAUCAGCAUGCCGCGGUGAAUACGUUCCGGGCCUUGUACACACCGCCCGUCACACUCACGAAAGUGGAUUGUACCCGAAGUCGUCCGAGCUAACCCUUAAGGGACGCAGGCGCCCAAGGUAUGAUUCAUGAUUGGGGUG
rnacentral:rRNA from 1 species